CAGAGUAGGGACCUAUGCGUUUAAGUGUCCGUGGGACGGGGAGUUGCCUGCGGAACGAAAGCCCGGCGCUGCGGUAUGGGUCCCGCAUCCCGCUGU
rnacentral:ncRNA from 1 species